rnacentral:rRNA from 1 species
GACGAACGCUGGCGGCGUGCCUAAUACAUGCAAGUAGAACGCUGAAGGAGGAGCUUGCUUCUCUGGAUGAGUUGCGAACGGGUGAGUAACGCGUAGGUAACCUGCCUGGUAGCGGGGGAUAACUAGUGGAAACGAUAGCUAAUACCUCAUAAGAGUAGAUGUUGCAUGACAUUUUCUUAAAAGGUGCAAUUGCAUCACUACCAGAUGGACCUGCGUUGUAUUAGCUAGUUGGUGGGGUAACGGCUCAACAAGGCGACGAUACAUAGACGACCUGAGAGGGUGGUCGGCCCCACUGGGACUGAGAAAAGGCCCAGACUUCUACGGGAGGCAGCAGUAGGGAAUCUUCGGAAAUGGACGGAAGUCUGAACGAGCAACGGCGCGUGAGUGAAGAAGGGUUUCGGAUCGGAAAGCUCCGUUGUAAGAGAAGAAAGAGUGUGAGAGUGGAAAGUUCACACUGUGACGGUAUCUAAACAGAAAGGGACGGCUAACUACGUG